GUGCUCACUUCGGCAGUACAUAUACUGAAAUUGGAGCGAUACAGAGAUUAGCAUGGCCCCUGUGCAAGGAUGACAUGCAAAUUCAUGAAGCGUUCCAUAUUAAA
rnacentral:snRNA from 1 species